rnacentral:miRNA from 12 species
AAUGGCUCUCAGAAUGUUGU